GUAUACCAAACUCCAGGGCUGGAUGGCAUAACAGUGGAAGUAUACCAAACUCCAGGGCUGGAUGGCAUAACAGUGGAAGUAUACCAAACUCCAGGGCUGGAUGGCAUAACAGUGGAAGUAUACCAAACUCCAGGGCUCGAUGGCAUACCAGUGGAGGUAUACCAAAC